rnacentral:other from 1 species
CAAUCCCUGCUGUGUGCGUGUAAGCUGACAUAGUAAAGAGCCAACACUCUGAGAAAGGGAGUCCGGACUCUGAAUGUUGAGUAUAUGCCCUCGAGAGAGGGAAAUACAAGAGACGUUCAGGAGGACACCCACCUGGUAAGCCGGGUCUCUAUUUACGGUCAGUAAACACGGCAUGGUGGGGUUUAU